rnacentral:rRNA from 1 species
GACGAACGCUGGCGGCGUGCCUAAUACAUGCAAGUCGAACGCAGUGGGGACGGGUGAGUAACACGUGGGUAACCUCCCAUCAGAGGGGAUAACACUUGGAAACAGGUGCUAAACCGAUACUGAUGGAUGGCCCCGCGGUGCAUUAGCUAGUUGGUGAGGUAACGGCGCAGCAAGGCCACGAUGCAUAGACUACCUGAGAGGGUGAUCGGCCACACUGGGACUGAGACAGGGCCCAGACUCCUACGGGAGGCAGCAGUAGGGAAUCUUCGGCAAUGGACGAAAGUCUGACCGAGCAACGCCGCGUGAGUGAAGAAGGUUUUCGGAUCGUAAGACACUGUUGUUAGCGAAACGGUAUCUAACCAGAAUGCCACGGCUAACUACGUGCCAGCAGCCGCGGUAAUAC